CUUGGGAACCGCCUCCUUUUGGCAAAAAAGCCCCGGGUUAACUACUUGGCCACCACCCGGGGAAAUACUUAGGGGGCAAGCUUUGCCCGAAUUUUUGGGGCGAAAAGCGCGCGCAGGCGGCCUCUUAAGUCUGAUGUGAAAGCCCCCGGCUCACCCGGGGAGGGCCAUUGAAAACUGGGAGGUUUGAUUAUAGGAGAGAAGAGGGAAUUUCCCCGUGUAGGGGGGAAAGGCGUAAAGAUGUGGAGGACCCCCAGGGGCAAAGGCAAUUCUUUGGCCUAUACUUGACGUUAAGGCGCGAAAGCGGGGGGGGCAAACGGGAUUAAAUCCCCCGGGUAUCCA
rnacentral:rRNA from 1 species